UACGGGGGGGGCAAGCGUUGUUCGGAAUUACUGGGCGUAAAGGGCUCGUAGGUGGCCAACUAAGUCAGACGUGAAAUCCCUCGGCUUAACCGGGGAACUGCGUCUGAUACUGGAUGGCUCGAGUGUGGGAGAGGGAUGCGGAAUUCCAGGUGUAGCGGUGAAAUGCGUAGAUAUCUGGAGGAACACCGGUGGCGAAGGCGGCAUCCUGGACUACUACUGACGCUGAGGAGCGAAAGCCAGGGGAGCAAACGGG
rnacentral:rRNA from 1 species